GUUACAUAAUCUUGUUGGUUUGUAUAGCUUAUUUGGCCAUAAAUUCUUCUGGACUGAGCAUGCUUGCUUGAUACCAAGAGAAAUUUCUAAAACCUUAUUAAUAUCCACCGUGUACCAGAUAUUAUUAGUUACACACCACUAAGUUGUUUACCGCACUAAUAGGAUUUGAAUAUGGGUAUAUUUAUUUGUUCCUUUUAUUUUGCAGGAAAAGUUGAGGAUGUAAGCAA
rnacentral:misc_RNA from 1 species